AGAUUUCUCAUAUGUAGCAAACCACUCCCGAUGUGCAGUGUAGUGGUGGGAACAUGCUGAAUCCAGUGUCCAGUGGCUAUCAAACUCUAUGGUCCCAUCUGACACAAUCAGUAAGUCAUCUCCACUAUCUUCAGAUGAUAGAGCACCACUCCUAUUGGUUGAACCACCCUUGGAAAAACCCUUCCCCUUCUCAUUCUUCAGAAGUGGGCAAUUCC
rnacentral:lncRNA from 1 species